GAACGCAGUACAUUAACUAAUAUUGGAACAAUACAGAGAAGAUAUUCAUGGCCCCUGCGCAAGGGUGACAUGCAAAUUUGUGAAUCAUUCUAUGUUUUG
rnacentral:snRNA from 1 species